rnacentral:rRNA from 1 species
AUUGAACGCUGGCGGCAUGCUUUACACAUGCAAGUCGAACGGCAGCGCGGGCUUCGGCCUGGCGGCGAGUGGCGAACGGGUGAGUAAUGCAUCGGAACGUGCCCAGUAGUGGGGGCGAGCCGGGCGAAAGCCGGAUUAAUACCGCAUAAGACCUGAGGGUGAAAGCGGGGGACCGAAAGGCCUCGCGCUAUUGGAGCGGCCGAUGUCGGAUUAGCUAGUUGGUGGGGUAAAGGCUUACCAAGGCGACGAUCCGUAGCUGGUCUGAGAGGACGACCAGCCACACUGGGACUGAGACACGGCCCAGACUCCUACGGGAGGCAGCAGUGGGGAAUUUUGGACAAUGGGGGCAAGCCUGAUCCAGCCAUGCCGCGUGCGUGAAGAAGGCCUUCGGGUUGUAAACCGCUUUUGUUCGGGAAGAAAUCCUCUGGGCUAAUACCCCGGGGUGAUGACGGUACCGGAAGAAUAAGCACCGGCUAACUACGUG